rnacentral:rRNA from 1 species
CUACGGGUGGCAGCAGUCGAGAAUAGUCUACAAUGGGGGAAACCCUGAUAGUGCGACGCCGCGUGAACGAAGAAGCUUUUCGGGGUGUAAAGUUCUUUUCUGUAUGAGCAAUGCUUUAUUGUUUAAGAGAUAAUAGAGAGAGAUAUUAGUACAGGAAUAAGCCACGGCUAACUCCGUGCCAGCAGCCGCGGUAAUACGGGGGUGGCAAGCGUUGUCCGGAUUUACUAGGCGUAAAGGGCAGGCAGGCGGGUAUUCAAGUCAGGCGUUAAAGGCAUCAGCUCAACUGGUGUACGGCGUUUGAGACUGGAUGUCUAGAGGCCGGUGAAGGUAGAUGGAAUUCCUAGUGUAGCGGUGGAAUGCGCAGAGAUUAGGAAGAACACCAAAGGCGAAGGCAAUCUACUGGGCCAUGGCUGACGCUAAACUGCGAAGGUGUGGGUAUCAAACAGGAUUAGAUACCCGCGUAGUC